rnacentral:rRNA from 1 species
GCGGCUUAAUUUGACUCAACGCGGGGUAAUUUACCAGGUAUAACAUGGUAUAAUAUUUUAUCAUGAUAGUGGUGCAUGGCCGUUUCCAAUGGAUGCUGUGAAGUAAUGAUUAAUUUCAACAAGAUGUGAGACCCUCAUAUAGACAGAUGUAGUGAUACAUAUGAAGGAGAGGAUUAAAACAGGUCCGUUAUGCCCUAAGAUAAUCUGGGUUGCACGCGCAAUACAAUAAUAUUUGAUAUUAUAAGGGAUAAUAUAAUGUAAGAUAUAUUUGAACAUGGAAUUGCUAGUAAAUUUUAUUUAAUAAGUAGAAUUGAAUGAGUCCCUGUUCUUUGUACACACCGCCCGUCGCUAUCUAAGAUGGUAUUAUCUAUGAACAAAUUUAUAAAGUGAAUAGAUAGUACUAGAUCUGAUAUAAGUCGUAACAUGGUUGCUGUUGGAGAACCAUUAGCAGGAUCAUAA